rnacentral:rRNA from 1 species
GAUGAACGCUGGCGGCGUGCCUAAUACAUGCAAGUCGAGCGAACAGACGAGGAGCUUGCUCCUCUGACGUUAGCGGCGGACGGGUGAGUAACACGUGGAUAACCUACCUAUAAGACUGGGAUAACUUCGGGAAACCGGAGCUAAUACCGGAUAAUAUAUUGAACCGCAUGGUUCAAUAGUGAAAGACGGUUUUGCUGUCACUUAUAGAUGGAUCCGCGCCGCAUUAGCUAGUUGGUAAGCUAACGGCUUACCAAGGCAACGAUGCGUAGACGACCUGAGAGGGUGAUCGCCCACCCUGGAACUGGACCACGGUCCAUACUCCUACGGGAGGCAGCAGUCGGGAACCUUCCGCAAUGGGCGAAAGCAUGACGCAGCAACCCCGAGCGAGUGAUGAAGGUCUUCGGAUCGUAAAACUCUGUUAUUAGGGAAGAACCACUGUGUAAGUAACCAUGCCCGUCUUGACGGUACCUAAUCAGAAAGCCCCGGCUAACUACGUG